UACGGAGGGUGCAAACGUUGCUCGGAAUCAUUGGGCGUAAAGCGCACGUAGGUGGCCUGUUAAGUCGGGUGUGAAAUCCCUGGGCUCAACCCAGGAAGUGCACUCGAAACUGGCAGGCUUGAGUACUGAAGAGGGUCGCGGAAUUCCCGGUGUAGAGGUGAAAUUCGUAGAUAUCGGGAGGAACACCAGUGGCGAAGGCGGCGACCUGGGCAGAUACUGACGCUGAGGUGCGAAAGCGUGGGGAGCAAACAGG
rnacentral:rRNA from 1 species